ACACUCCUACGGGAGGCAGCAGUGGGGAAUAUUGGACAAUGGGCGAAAGCCUGAUCCAGCAAUGCCGCGUGAGUGAUGAAGGCCUUAGGGUUGUAAAGCUCUUUUACCCGGGAUGAUAAUGACAGUACCGGGAGAAUAAGCCCCGGCUAACUCCGUGCCAGCAGCCGCGGUAAUACGGAGGGGGCUAGCGUUGUUCGGAAUCACUGGGCGUAAAGCGCGCGUAGGCGGCUUUGUAAGUUAGAGGUGAAAGCCCGGAGCUCAACUUCGGAAUUGCCUUUAAGACUGCAUCGCUAGAAUCGUGGAGAGGUGAGUGGAAUUCCGAGUGUAGAGGUGAAAUUCGUAGAUAUUCGGAAGAACACCAGUGGCGAAGGCGACUCACUGGACACGUAUUGACGCUGAGGUGCGAAAGCGUGGGGAGCAAACAGGAUUAGAUACCCUUGUAGUCCC
rnacentral:rRNA from 1 species